AUAAUGGAGAGUUUGAUCCUGGCUCAGGAUUAACGCUGGCGGUAUGCCUAACACAUGCUAGUCGUACGAGAAUUUUAUUCUAUUGGCGGACGGGCGAGUAACACGUGAGAAUCUACCCCUAGGAGGGGGAUAACAGUUGGAAACGAUUGCUCAAACCCCAUAUGCCAUUAUUGGUGAAAAAAAUUUAUCUGCCUG
rnacentral:ncRNA from 1 species